rnacentral:snRNA from 1 species
UUAGUAAAAGGCGAAAGAA